GAAAAAUUACUUAAGAUUGUC
rnacentral:miRNA from 1 species